rnacentral:lncRNA from 1 species
UUCUAAAUGACAUAUCUAUAUGAUGGUCUUGAGUGUGUGCUUUAUUCACACGAAACCAUUGGCUUAUUAUCCUGACAUCGAUUUCAAGCAAAUCGAAUGGAUAACAUUGCAGAAUUCUCCUUGAGUGCCUUCUCUAUGGUCCUUGGAUUGAAGUUUAGCAAUUUGUCCUAAUGUCUAGACUCAACAUGGUUUGGUAGAAU